CUGGGACUGACCAGGAGUCAUCUCCAUUUUUACCCAGGCACCCCAGCCAGCCUCACCUGAGGCCGCCAGGAGACUCAUGGGCUGAUGGCGAUGACGGAUAUCAGUCAUAUUAGUACCGUCUACCAUCGGGGAGGGGAGAGGAGCAGAUACUGCUCUUCAUGCUGCAG